rnacentral:rRNA from 1 species
UACGUAGGGUGCGAGCGUUGUCCGGAAUUACUGGGCGUAAAGAGCUCGUAGGUGGUUUGUCGCGUUGUUCGUGAAAACUCACGGCUUAACUGUGAGCGUGCGGGCGAUACGGGCAGACUGGAGUACUGCAGGGGAGACUGGAAUUCCUGGUGUAGCGGUGGAAUGCGCAGAUAUCAGGAGGAACACCGGUGGCGAAGGCGGUUCUCUGGGCAUGUCCUGACGCUGAGGAGCGAAAGUGUGGGGAGCGAACAGG